UCCCUUUCUCUUCAAAGCCUGGGACACUCAAGAUUUUUUUCAGGCAACAGCCCAGAGGUAACUAAUUUUUCCGGAGAGCAAGCCAAUAAAAAUAGCAAAGGUUUCUGUCAUGCCCGCCCGCCUGUCCCUCCGUGUGAAGAGACCAUCAACAGGCUUUGUUAGAGAUGGAGUUUCACCGUGUUAGCCAG